rnacentral:rRNA from 1 species
GUGCAGCAGGCGAGAAAACUUCACACUGUGCGAAAGCACGAUGAGGGAAUCCCAAGUGCUUGCACGUAAGUGUAAGCUGUUUCUCUGUCUAAAACGCAGAGAGAGUAAGGGCUGGGUAAGACGGGUGCCAGCCGCCGCGGUAAUACCUGCAGCUCAAGUGGUGACCGUUAUUAUUGGGCCUAAAACGUCCGUAGCCGGUUUAAUAAAUGCCUGGGUAAAUUGUGUAGCUUAACUAUACGAAUUCCGGGUAGACUGUUAAACUUGAGACCGAGAGAAGUUAGAGGUACUCCUGGGGUAGAGGUGAAAUUCUGUAAUCCUAGGGGGACCACCAGUGGCGAAGGCGUCUAACUAGAACGGGUCUGACGGUGAGGGACGAAGCCCUGGGGCGCAAACGGGGAUUAGAUACCCCUGUAGU